AAUCAAAACGAAUCUGUUUGUUUCACAAUGAGAAGAUUUGUUAUACUUGUGCUUUUCUCUUCCGUAUUACCCAAACCACAGUAAUCACGAACAAAAAUGGACGAUGUUGAAAGAGAUGCUGAGAUAAAUUGUCAAGUUCUUGAAUCUGUCUCACUUGCGGGCCGUCCAAGCCCAAAGAUCAAACGAAGCUACACUAGUGUUUCAAAUAAGCCAGCCCGUAAAUUUGUCUACUAUUGGCCCAUUAAAAGAGACCCAAUUGUUGACCCCGAUUCAGAGGAAAAUGCCCAAACCCGUGAAUCUGUUUCAAUUCCCACCACUUCUUUUAACAUUCGUCCCAUGUUCUGGUAUCGGAUCAAGACCUUUCGUGGAAAGCGCACAGAAGAAAUUUAUCAAGAAUUGGAGGAUGACAAUUGAGCGUACAACUCCUAAAACUUAUUGAAUUUCAACCGUUUUACGGUUUAAAGCCACUACGUUAUUUGUCAUUGCUUUUAAAAUGUUACGCAUGAUUUUGUGAGUGUAUAGCAUAAUUGUUGUUGAAAUUGUCUAUUUGUCUUUUUAAUGUGUGUUGAUCGUUAUUGUCUUUGAGAAUAAUGAUUAAUCUUGUAACUUUCUAUGUAUAUAUAUCAAUAUAUGUAAGGUUCAAACUGUCACACCUAUCUCGUUGUUUAUUAAGUGUGUAGUUUCAACUGUUUUACUGUUUAGGGUCACUACGUUAUUUGUCGUUCCUAAGUUGAUGUUGUAUUUUUAAUGUACGUAAAUUGUAUUUAUCUUUAAGAAUAAUGGUUAACCCUGUAUUUUUCA